GUUGUUCUUGUUGAGAUGGAGUAAUAAUAUGAUUAAUUUUAAUCUGAUGAUUAUUGAAAGAGAUUAUUUGAGCUCCUUGGGUAGAUGCAGUGAAGUGAUUUCACUUGUUUCGGGUGAGGAUAUGAGGUAAUGAUAUAGAAUUGCUGAUUUUUGUUGGUGUUGGACCUACUUAAAUAAACUUAGAUGAAAAAAAUACUUGAAUGUGUAGCAACCCUAUUUUUUAUAAAUAUCAAAUAGUGAAUAAUGAGAAUCCUUAAAUGUUGUGUAAGUAAAUGUGUAAUACGAAUAAAUUUAGCAUGUUAUAAUAUCUAAAAUGGAAAGAUGUGCAUACUUGUCUAAUCUAUUAAAAAGAAAAAGAUCUAAUGUCUAGGAGAAUAAUUAGACAUACAUCUUAUGAUGGGUAUCAAUUAAAGAAAUACAUUAAAAUAAUUAAAAUAUAGCACAUGGACCAAUAGGGAUAUGUCAAAGGGGAUAAUAAUCGGAUAUUCGGAUCCAACUAUCACUACAAAAUUUAUAUAUAUUUGUGGGUCUUUUUUAGUGAGAGUUUUUAAAAACCUCCAUAACAUAUUUUAUCUGUGGCAUUUUGAUAAACUCCCACAAGAUAACUAAGAAUAAAACUCAUUGUUACCACUUAAAUUACCAUAUAAUUAAAACUCUUUUCAAAAUCGAAGAAAAUACUUGAAGAGAAAGAACAGAGGAUGAGAGCUCACUGAAACCCUAGCAUUGCGAUAGCCAUCUCCAUCGCCGUCGCCGCCUCUGCCGCCGUCGCCGCCUCCUCCGCCAUUGCUGCCGUCGUUACUACUAAAGUUCAUCUCCUUUAUGCUGUUGCCAGAAAGCCUCUGAGACCAAGAGAAAGCACCUCUUCUGUCAACUCUCCUCCGCAAAUGAUUCUUGUGUUCUCCAUCGGCAUUCUCUCGCUUCUGCAUGCUCUUCUUCGUUCCACUCCUUCUCAAUUUUCGAGUUGGUGUUUCUGUACAUUGAGAAAGUUGAAGCAAGCUUCAAUGUGAAAAAUAUUUAUACUUCCAAGGAGGAGGUCUUCCGCUAUAUAUUGGCACUUCAUUCUUACUAGGGACUAUCCUAAUAGUAUAAGAGAAGACCUUGUUAAGGGGUUUGUUAGGAUCUAUUUGUUGAUCAGGUACUCUUAUGUUGCUUCCAUUUUAUUUUAACUGUCUCUACUAUUAUUUUCUGCUCAGAUACAAAAUGUCCUAUCUUGGUUUCUUUCUUUAGGGAAGAGGGAAAGAUAUCACGCAAGCUUAUUGAGUGUAUUAAUAUAUAUUUGUUAAAUGAUGGUCCAAAUUUGGGCGGUCAUUUGUUAGAGAUUCAUACUGCUAUACAGCAAUUUGUGUUUCGUUGUUGGUUGACAACACAUGAUCGAGUGCUUAAGGUAUCUUACCAUUUUAUUUGAAUGCAAAAUACUGCAUUAAUUUUAUAAAUUGUUUUUAUUUAUUUUUUUAAACCCAAUGUCUGUUACAAGAUUCACUUAUAUUGUAUUCAAGGAUACAAUUAAAUUUGAUUAAUGUGGAUUUGGACCAUUUUUAGAUCUGUUCACUCCCAAGCUUCUUCGUCCACGCCGCUUUCUCUCACUCCAAUUUUUCCUUUGAACUGCCGCUGGUACCUCUUUUUCUUCCCUAUUAAUUUGAUGAUAUUUAUUCUUUGUUAACAAUAAAUUUUGCAAUAACUUUUGAGAUCAGAGAAGAGUGACUUCGCUAAUAUAAGGAGGCAAAUAAUAUAUAAGGAGGGAAACCGAAUAGGUUCAGCUCUAAUACUCUUGCUUUUUUUGUGAUUUCUAAAAUAGUUCGAUUAAGUAGAUUUGAUUUUGAAUUUCUGAAUUGAAUAGUCAUAAUUCACUGCUCAUUUGUGUCCGAUGAAGCAGGUGUAUGCCCUUCGCUGUUGUGGAUUUUGUGUUAUGAUUCUAAUAAGGAAAUCCAAACAGCACACUGGGAAAUUUAUAUAUCUUUAUAAUUUUUGUUCACUAUGUUUUAGUUCUAAUUUCUACUUUGUUAACUCUUUAUUUUCUCUCUAUGAUUUGAUCAUGCAUUGUAGUGGCAACAAAUGGAUAUCAAAUAUACGUUUUGGCAAAUGCUUCAUCUAUGUACAUCACCAAAAGUUAUCUACCAGUUAGAAAUGCUAUCCUCGGGUUUGUUGGAGGGAGUUAGCCACUCAUUUACAAAGAAUUUUCAUUUAAUUGAUUCGGCGAAGGGAUAUCUUUCAUAUGCAUUAUUUUCAGCUUCAGUUUCAUAAUUUCCUGUCAUAUUUCAGUAUGCAACUGGAAUAUUCUUGGUGCUGUUGUUACGAUUCAGAGAGAGUCUCAAAGUGAAAUAGGCAUCUUCUUUCCGCUGAUAGUGCUUAGACCACUGGACAGUUUAGAGUUUCCCAUCAACCAAAAAGAUGCUGGAAAAAGUAUGUAAGGAUCCACAGAUGCAAGUAGUUCAUUUGAGGUUUAGUUACUUUAAAAUUCUCUGUAGUUUCAUUGAACUUCCAUAUUGGGUAUAAAACUGCUUUUUUUUUUUGGAUAUUAUUAUAAGUUAAUGGAAAACAAGCCUGCUUCAUUUGCUCAAUUUUUGAAGAACACUCACAAUCUGGAUAAAGUUGUAACUCUCAUGUAGUGCAAUUUAAUUUUAGAUUCAUGUUUGUUCUUGUAAUAUAUACCUCUUGGUUGUAUUGGGGUAAAAAAUUAUGAAUGGAAGCUCCAUGGAAUUGAUCCAUGUGUAUUUUGACCCA